CUUGAGUGGCGGGCAGCAGCAGUGAAUAGGCGGCCUGAUACUGCGUGACGCGACGGGAAAGCGGGGAGGUAGCGGCCGGUGGCGGCGGCGGCGGCGGCGGCGACAGCGGCGACCCGGGAAUCCAGCUAGAGGGACCUGGGGAGCGUACCGAGACCUCUAGCUGGAGCCCGAAGGACGUCCCGCCGAGAUGCCUGGGGAGCAGAUGGACCCUACUGGAAGUCAGUUGGAUUCAGAUUUCUCUCAGCAAGAUACUCCUUGCCUGAUAAUUGAAGAUUCUCAGCCUGAAAGCCAGGUUCUUGAAGAUGAUUCUCACUUUAGUGUGCUUUCUCGACACCUUCCAAAUCUCCAGAUGCACAAAGAGAACCCUGUGUUGGAUGUUGUGUCCACUCCUGAACAGACAGCUGAACAGGGAGACCAUAAUAGUGGGCUCAAUGAACAUUUGAAAGAAAACAAGGCUGCAGACCUUGUGGAUUCUUCUCAUUUGGAUACAUGUAGUUCCAUCAGUCAGGUCAUUGAUCCGUUACCUCAGCCAAACAGGACAAGCAGUGUUCUAGGAAUGUCAUUGGAAUCUGUUCCUACUGAUGGGGAAGAGAAGGAAGAAGAAUUGGAAGAGAAGGGGAAAGAGGAGGUAGAAGACGACACUUCAGAUGAUACCACACAUGCCCUUGGUGCUGAAGAUCCUGCUUCAUCACAGCUGGGCUUUGGGGUCCUGGAACUCUCUCAGAGUCAGGAUGUUGAAGAACAUAUUGUGCCAUAUGAAGCAGACAAAGAACACCUACAGUUAAUAACCACCAACUCUGGUUAUAACAGGCUUUCCGAUGUGGCUGCAGAUGCUGUUAAGCAAGAAGAAGAGCUGUGCAGUGAAGAUAUUCCCAUGGCAGAACAGCUCCCCAAGGACUCCCCUGUGACACUACUGCCCGGUAAAGCUGUGCAUGUGGUAGAAGAGCAAAGUCCAGCACCAGCAAGGUAAACUGUACUUUCUUCCCUUCCCUUCCCCUCCCCUCCCACCCCUCCUUCCACUCCACUCCCACGUCUCAUUC
rnacentral:lncRNA from 1 species